CUCGGCCUCCUGAGUAGCUGGGACUACAGGUGCAAGCCACCAUGCCCAGAUAAUUUUUGUGUUUUUAGUAGAGACGGGGUUUCACCAUGUUGGUCAGGCUGUUCUGGAACUCCUGACCUUGUGAUCUGCCCGCCUCGACCUCUCAAAGUGCUGGGAUUACAGGCAUGAGCCACCGCACCUGGCCUAAUUUUUUGUGUUUUUAGUAGAGACGGUGUUUUGCUAUGUUGGCCAGGCUGGUCUUAGACCUCUUGCCUGAAGUGAUCCUCCCGCCUCAGCCUCCCAAAGUGUGGGAUUACAGGUGUGAGCCAUCGUGCCUGGCUAAUUUUUGUAUUUUUAGUAGAGAUGGGGUUUUGCCAUGUUGCUCCGGUUGGUCUCAAACUCCUGGGCUUAAGUGAUCCACCUACCUCAGCCUCCCAAAGUGCUAGGAUUAUAGGCAUGAGCCAUCAUGCCUGGCCCUUCAUCCUAGAUCUUAGGAGAUCUAGUAUGUUGUUGAUCUGGUAUUUGGUAUGUUGGAGAUCUGGUAUUUGGUAUGUUGGGAGAUCUUGUAUUUGGUAUGUUGGGAGAGCUGGUAUUUGGUAUGUUAGGUGAUCUGGUAUUUGGUAUGUUGGAGAUCUGGUAUUUGGUAUGUUGGAGAUCUGGUAUUUGGUAUGUUGGUGAUCUGGUAUUCGGUAUGUUGGGAGAUCUGGUAUUUGGUUUGUUGGUGAUCUGGUAUUUGGUUUGUUGGUUGAUCUGAUAUUUGGUAUGUUGGGAGAUCUGGUAUUUGGUAUGCUAGGUGAUCUGGUAUUUAGUAUGUUGGAGAUCUGGUAUUUGGUAUGUUGGAGAUCUGGUAUUUGGUAUGUUGGAGAUCUGGUAUUUGGUAUGUUGGUGAUCUGGUAUUUGGUAUGUUGGUGAUCUGGUAUUUGGUAUGUUGGGAGAUCUGGUAUUUGGUUUGUUGGUGAUCUGGUAUUUGGUUUGUUGGUUGAUCUGAUGUUUGGUAUGUUGGGAGAUCUGGUAUUUGGUAUAUUGUCUUGAUAGAUGAGCUAGAGGUUGCUUGACAAAGGAGGAGGAGAAAGACGUUCUUUGUAGGAGAAAGAGGGUUCUGUGAGUGGACUUGUUCAUGGAAGGGAGUAAUCUGAGAUAAACUGGAAAUGUAUCCAUCCUGGGCAACAGAGAGAUACCCUAUCUCUACAAAAAAUACAAAAAGUAGCUGGGCAUGGUGGCAUGUACCUGUAGUCCCAGCUACUCAGGAGGCUAAGGCAGGGUGUAUCACCUGAGCCCAGGAGGUGG
rnacentral:lncRNA from 10 species